CCGAUGAGGUGGAAACGGACAGAGCUGGCGUAUCUGGCCUGCAUUCAGCCGCCGUGCGUCGGGCCCCGGUUUGCCGCUCUCCAGAUUGGGAAGGUGGCUGGGGCGCUGGCGUUGCGGUGGUGCAUUUGCAGGUGGAGUGCGCCGAGGCGCUCGGCUCAGCGGCAUGAGCUCGGCUUUGAGGCCAACCGCGCAAGCGGUCUGGUACCCGGGUCGGGGGAGUGCUGUUUGGGCUGGGUGUUCGCCAUGGGUUGUGGUUUCGGGCCCGGGUGGGUGCUGAGCUGGCGGUCGGCGGCGGUCGCAUGCGACACGUGCCAUCAGUCAGUUCGGUCCUGCUCGAGCUCUCAGCUGCCCGGCCUCGGUGUAAAAGCCGGUCAUCUGUCCGACCCGUCUUGAAACACGGACCAAGGAGUUUAGCGUGUGCGCGAGUCAUUGGGCGUUGAAAACCCAAAGGCGCAAUGAAAGUGAAGGUCUGCCUUGUGCAGCUGAUGUGUGAUCCUGGGUGCCGCGGUGCCCGGGCGCAACAUAGUCCCGUCCCGACUGCAUGCAGUGGGGCGGAGACAGAGCGUACGCGCUGAG
rnacentral:rRNA from 1 species